CGCAUCUGUGCAUGCAGCAUAUCAAUAAGCGGAGGAAAAGGGCGUUGAACCUACGCUUAGGAUGUUGACACACGCGCGUGCUCGAUUCUAUACAUGACUCUGUGCAUAUCAAUAAGCGGAGGAAGCCUGAACCGCUACCUACGCUUAGGAUGUUGACGAGACUGUCGAUCUCAUCUAUACAUGACUCUGCGCAUAUCAAUAAGCGGAGGAAAAGGAGUAUACCUACGCUUAGGAUGUUGACGAGACUGUCGAUCGCAUCUGUGCAUGCAGCAUAUCAAUAAGCGGAGGAAAAGAAACUAACAAGGAUUCCCCUAGUAACGGCGAGUGAAGCGGGAAGAGCUCAAAUUUGAAGUCUUAAAGGGUUUCCCUUUACGAAUUGUAGUUUAAAGAAGUGUUUUCUGUUGAGGUUUUGGUAAAAGUUCUUUGGAAUAGGACAUCAUAGAGGGUGAGAAUCCCGUAUUUGACCUUUACUUUCAACUUUGUGAUACACUUUCAAAGAGUCGGAUUGUUUGGGAAUGCAGUCCAAAAUGGGUGGUAAAUUUCAUCUAAAGCUAAAUAUUGGCGAGAGACCGAUAGCGAACAAGUACCGUGAGGGAAAGAUGAAAAGAACUUUGAAAAGAGAGUUAAACAGUACGUGAAAUUGUCAAAAGGGAAGCGUUUGACACCAGUGUUGUUUUUCUGAAAAUCAAUUAAAGAACUGUUUAUGCUAAGCUGUUUAGACUUUAUCAGCUAUCUGUUUAGUUUUGAGCUUUUCUUUAAUGCACUUUUCAGUUAACAAGUCAACAUCAAUUUCUUUUGCUGUAAAAAAGCUUGAGGAAGGUGGCUUGAGAUUCGUCUUAAGUGUUUAUAGCCUCUUGCCUAUGCAGUCGGAGAGAUUGAGGUCUGCAGCGUAGAUCCUUCGGGGCUAAAUGCAUUUGUGCUAAGUUAUAGCAUUUUAUAGACAACUUGUUGACUAUGAUUUGUCUUGUAGCUUACUCGCUUAUGUUAUUUUACCUACGCUUAGGAUGUUGACGAGACUGUCGAUCUC
rnacentral:rRNA from 1 species